GAUCUUGGAGUUGUAGGCUUUGCCUAGCAUCUCUUACCCAUGUCUUUUGUGUACCUUCGUUUCCUCGGCGGGUCCGCCCGCCGAUUGGACAAACUUAAACCCUUUGUAAUUGAAAUCAGUGUCUGAAAAAACAUAAUAGUUACAACUUUCAACAACGGAUCUCUUGGUUUUGGCAUCGAUGAAGAACGCAGCGAAAUGCGAUAAGUAGUGUGAAUUGCAGAAUUCAGUGAAUCAUCGAAUAUUUGAACGCACAUUGGGCCCCUUGGUAUUCGAUGGGGCAUGCCUGUUCGAGCGUCAUUUGUACCUUCAAGCUCUGCUUGGUGUUGGGUGUUUGUCUCGCCUUUGCGUGUAGACUCGCCUUAAAACAAUUGGCAGGCGGCGUAUUGAUUUCGGAGCGCAGUACAUCUCGCGCUUUGCACUCAUAACGACGACGUCCAAAAAGUACUUUUUACACUCUUGAUCUCGGAUCAGGUAGGGAUACCCGCUGAACUUAAGCAUAUCAAUAAGCGGAGGA
rnacentral:sRNA from 1 species